rnacentral:rRNA from 1 species
CAGUAGCCGCGGGAAUACGUAGGGUGCAAGCGUUGUCCGGAAUUAUUGGGCGUAAAGAGCUCGUAGGCGGUCUGUCGCGUCGAAUGCGAAAAUCCGAGGCUCAACCUCGGACCUGCAUUCGAUACGGGCAGACUAGAGUUCGGUAAGGGAGUCUGGAAUUCCUGGUGUAGCGGUGAAAUGCGCAGAUAUCAGGAGGAACACCGGUGGCGAAGGCGGGACUCUGGGCCGAUACUGACGCUGAGGAGCGAAAGCGUGGGGAGCAAACAGGAUUAGAUACCACCGUAGUCCCUGUCUCUUAUAC